CUAAGAUCAAUGCUUUUAACUGGUCGAAACUCUCUCCUAUAGGGACACACUAAGAUCAAUGCUUUUAACUGGUCGAAACUCUCUCCUAUAGGGACACACUAAGAUCAAUGCUUUUAACUGGUCGAAACUCUCUCCUAUAGGGACUCACUAAGAUCAAUGCUUUUAACUGGUCGAAACUCUCUCCUAUAGGGACACACUAAGAUCAAUGCUUUUAACUGGUCGAAACUCUCUCCUAUAGGGACACACUAAGAUCAAUGCUUUUAACUGGUCGAAAGUCCGCAAGCUCAGCUUCAAGAGGAAACGUUUUCUCAUCAAACUCAGACCAGAUCUCAACCAGAGUGCGUACCAGGACACUCUGGAGUUUGGGAUGGCCAGUAGAGACUGCUGUAAGAUCUUCUGGAAAAUCUGUGUGGAGCACCAUGCCUUCUUCAGACUGAUGGAGGAACCCAAGCCUCAACCCAAAGCUGUUCUCUUCACCAGGGGGUCCUCAUUCAGGUUUAGCGGUCGGACACAGAAGCAGGUUUUUGAUUACGUCAAGGACUCAGAGUUCAAAA